GUCUGUGUGGCCUAACGGAUAAGGUGUCUGACUUCGAAUAAGAAGAUUGCAGGUUCAAAUCCUGUCGCGGAUG
rnacentral:tRNA from 13 species